rnacentral:rRNA from 1 species
UACGUAGGGGGCGAGCGUUGUCCGGAUUUAUUGGGCGUAAAGAGCGUGUAGGCGGCCAGGUAGGUCCGUUGUGAAAACUCGAGGCUCAACCUCGAGACGUCGAUGGAAACCAUCUGGCUAGAGUCCGGAAGAGGAGAGUGGAAUUCCUGGUGUAGCGGUGAAAUGCGCAGAUAUCAGGAAGAACACCUAUGGCGAAGGCAGCACUCUGGGACGGUACUGACGCUGAGACGCGAAAGCGUGGGGAGCGAACAGG